AAAGAUAUCUGGUUGAUCCUGCCUGAACUGAUGUGUUCAUUUCAAAGAUUAAGCCAUGCAUGUAUAAGUUUAAUCGUUUUAACGAGAAACCGCGAACGGCUCAUUACAAUGGCCAUGAUUUACUUGAUCUUGAUUAUCUAAAUGGAUAACUGUGGAAAAGCUAGAGCUAAUACAUGCACCAGAGCUUUGUCCUCUCGGAAAAGCGCAUUUAUUAGAACAAAACCACGCGGCUUCGGCUGCUUCUUGUUGACUCAGAAUAACUAAGCUGACCGCAUGGCCUUGUGCCGGCGGCGUGUCUUUCAAGCGUCCACUUUAUCAACUUGACGGGAGCAUAAUCGACUCCCGUGGUGGUGACGGAUAACGGAGGAUCAGGGUUCGACUCCGGAGAAGGGGCCUGAGAAAUGGCCACUACGUCUAAGGAUGGCAGCAGGCGCGCAAAUUACCCACUCUCGGCUCGAGGAGGUAGUGACGAGAAAUAACGAGACUGUUCUCUUUGAGGCCGGUCAUCGGAAUGGGUACAAUUUAAACCCUUUAACGAGUAUCAAGCAGAGGGCAAGUCUGGUGCCAGCAGCCGCGGUAAUUCCAGCUCUGCUAAUACAUAGAAUUAUUGCUGCGGUUAAAAAGCUCGUAGUUGGAUUCGUAUCGGUACCUUGGAACCCUUCGGGUGUUUCUGGGUGUUAUCGAUUUAUCGUAAUGUUCGGUUUUGAGUCCUUAACAGGAUUUUUAACAGUCAUUGCAAGUUUACUUUGAACAAAUCAGAGUGCUUCAAACAGGCGUUUUCGCUUGAAUGAUCGUGCAUGGAAUAAUAGAAAACGAUUUCGGUUCAGUUUUAUUGGUUUUACGGACUGAGAUAAUGGUUAACAGAGACAAACGGGGGCAUUUGUAUGGCCCCGUGAGAGGUGAAAUUCUUGGACCGUGGCCAGACAAACUACAGCGAAAGCAUUUGCCAAGAAUGUCUUCAUUAAUCAAGAACGAAAGUCAGAGGUUCGAAGGCGAUCAGAUACCGCCCUAGUUCUGACCGUAAACGAUGCCAACUAGCGAUCCGCUGAUGGAAAUUAUAUUGCCUUGGUGGGGAGCUUCCCGGAAACGAAAGUCUUCCGGUUCCGGGGGAAGUAUGGUUGCAAAGCUGAAACUUAAAGGAAUUGACGGAAGGGCACCACCAGGAGUGGAGCCUGCGGCUUAAUUUGACUCAACACGGGGAAACUCACCCGGCCCGGACACUGUGAGGAUUGACAGAUUGAUAGCUUUUUCAUGAUUCAGUGGAUGGUGGUGCAUGGCCGUUCUUAGUUCGUGGAGUGAUUUGUCUGGUUUAUUCCGAUAACGAGCGAGACUCUAACCUACUAAAUAGUUGGUACAUACUCUUUGUGUAUACAGCUUCUUAGAGGGAUUUGCGGCGUUCAGCCGAAAGAAAUUGAGCAAUAACAGGUCUGUGAUGCCCUUAGAUGUCCGGGGCUGCACGCGCGCUACACUGGCAAAAUCAACGUGCUUGUCCUACCCUGAAAGGGGCGGGUAAACCAUUGAAAAUUUGCCGUGAUUGGGAUCGGAAAUUGCAAUUAUUUUCCGUGAACGAGGAAUUCCAAGUAAGUGCGAGUCAUCAGCUCGCGUUGAUUACGUCCCUGCCCUUUGUACACACCGCCCGUCGCUGCCCGGGACUGAGCCAUUUCGAGAAAUUUGGGGACCGUUGAUUUAAUUUAUCUAAAUUAUUUUGAUGGAAACCAAUUUAAUCGCAGUGGCUUGAACCGGGCAAAAGUCGUAACAAGGUAGCUGUAGGUGAACCUGCUGCUGGAUCAUUACUUUA